rnacentral:rRNA from 1 species
UACGUAGGUGGCAAGCGUUGUCCGGAUUUACUGGGCGUAAAGAGCGCGCAGGCGGCCAAGUCAGUCGAAUGUGAAAGCCCCCGGCUCAACUGGGGAGGGUCAUUCGAUACUGCUCGGCUCGAAGACAGGAGAGGGAAGUGGAAUUCCCGGUGUAGUGGUGAAAUGCGUAGAUAUCGGGAGGAACACCAGUGGCGAAGGCGACUUUCUGGCCUGUUCUUGACGCUGAGGCGCGAAAGCUAGGGGAGCGAACGGG